CUCCUCAUCACUCUUUACCUGAGAAUCCUCUGGACUGGAUCGUGUACCCAUCAGCCUUUAUCCAAAGAUGCAGCCGAUAGGGCUCAUUUGGUUCCAGCCCAGCUGCUGUUCAAACAGGUGUUUGUGAACAGCAGGGUCUCAUACAGGUGUAUGUAAAUGCAGUUGUGUUUCAAGACGGGCAUCUCCUACACAUCUCUGCACAAGAAUUACAUUCAAGUGGCGUACAUUUCACAGGCCUCCUUCGCUGGAGUCUACGUGCCCUGUGUAUCUCUACACCUGUGCGACCCUCCAGACGUGCAGUACAGGUGUGAAGUCCGUG